rnacentral:rRNA from 1 species
UACGGAAUGUGCAACCGUUAUUCGGAAUCACUGGGCUUAAAGAGUCCGUAGGCGGCUUGUUAGGUGAGGUGUGAAAUCCCUCGGCCCAACCGAGGAAUUGCGCUUCAAACCGGCAAGCUAGAGGAGGAUAGAGGUGGGCGGAACUGAUGGUGGAGCGGUGAAAUGCGUUGAUAUCAUCAGGAACACCGGAGGCGAAGGCGGUCCACUGGGUCCUUUCUGACGCUGAGGGACGAAAGCUAGGGGAGCGAACGGG